rnacentral:rRNA from 1 species
GAUGAACGCUGGCGGCGUGCCUAACACAUGCAAGUCGAGCGAACAGACGAUGAGCUUGUUCCCUUGACGUUAGCGGCGGACGGGUGAGUAACACGUGGAUCACCUACUUAUAUUUCUGGGAUAAUCACGGAACACCGGAGCUAAUACCGGAUAAUAUAUUGAACCGCAUGGUUCAAUAGAGAAUGACGGCUUUGGUGGAUCUAAUAGCUGGUUACGCGCCGGAUUGGCUAGUUGGUAAGGUAACGGCCUACCAAGGCAACGAUGCGUAGCCGACCGGAGAGGGUGAUAGGCGACACUGGAACGGAGACACGGUCCAGACUCCUACGGGAGGCAGCAGUGGGGAAUAUGCGGCAAUGGGCGAAAGCCUGACGCAGCAAGGCCGCGUGGGUGAUGAAGGCCUUCGGAGCGUAAAGCCCUGUUAUGGGGAAAGAACAGAUGUGGAAUUAGACAUAGACGUCUUGACGGUACCUAAUCAAGAAGCACCGGCUAACUACGUG